rnacentral:rRNA from 1 species
CAGCCGCCACGGUAAUACGUAGGGUGCGAGCGUUAAUCGGAAUUACUGGGCGUAAAGCGUGCGCAGGCGGUUUAACAAGUUAGUGGUGAAAGGCAUAGGCUCAGCCAAUGUAAGCCAUUAAAACUGUUUAACUUGAGUGCAGGAGAGGAAAGUGGAAUUCCUAGUGUUGCGGUGAAAUGCGUAGAUAUUAGGAGGAAUACCAGUGGCGAAGGCGACUUUCUGGACUGCAACUGACACUGAGGCACGAAAGCGUGGGGAGCAAACAGGAUUAGAUACCCCCGUAGUCCCUGUCUCUUAUACA